AGAGUUCUAUAGCCCUUGUGAGCAUUAAUCCUUUACUUAGGCUCUUGGUUGCUUUCCUCCCAGUUUGAAGUUGCAUGACAGUGUGAUGCAACUAAGAAAAGAAAAGCUAAUGCCAUUCUAGGCUGCAUCAACAGUAGCAGAGUGUCCAGAUCAAAGGAAGUAAUAGCAAUAGUACAAUUCUAUUCUGCCUUGCUCAGACCCCACUUGGAGGACUGCAUCCAGCACACAGCUGGAAUGUGUUCAGAGGAGGGCAACCAAGAUAACCAACCCUUAUGAGGAACGGUUGAGGGAGUUGGGUAUGUAUAGCCUGAAGAAGAGAAGACUAAGAGAAGAUACGAUGAUGUUGUUGUUGUUGAUUAGUUGUUUAGUCGUGUCCGACUCUUCGUGACUCCAUGGACCAGAGCACGCCAGGCACUCCUAUCUUCCACUGCCUCCCGCAGUUUCGUCAAACUCAUGUUCGUAGCUUCAAGAACACUGUCCAACCAUCUUGUCCUCUGUCGUCCCCUUCUCCUUGUGCCCUCCAUCUUUCCCAACAUCAGGGUCUUUUCCAGGGAGUCUUCUCUUCUCAUGAGGUGGCCAAAGUAUUGGAGCCUCAGCUUCAGUAUCUGUCCUUCCAGUGAGCACUCAGGGCUGAUUUCCUUCAGAAUGGAUAGGUUUGAUCUUCUUGCAGUCCAUGGGACUCUCAAGAGUCUCCUCCAGCAGCAUAAUUCAAAAGCAUCAAUUCUUUGGCGAUCAGCCUUCUUUAUGGUCCAGCUUUCACUUCCUCACAUCACUACUGGGAAAACCAUAGCUUUAACUAUACGGACCUUUGUUGGCAAGGUGAUGUCUCUGCUUUUUAAGAUGCUGUCUAGGUUUAGCUAAAGGGCUGGCGCAUAGAGCCAACUUGUUUUCCACUGCUCCAGAGCAUAGGACCCAGAACAACAGGUUCAAAUAGCAAGAAAGGUGAUUCCUAUGAAACAUUAGGAAGAACUGUAAGAGCUGUUCGGCAGUGGGAUGGACUACCUUGGAAGCUGAUAGACUCUCCUUCAUUUGAGGUUUUUUAGCAGAGGUUGGAGGGCAACCUGACAUGGAUGCUUUAGUUGAGAUUUCUGCAUUGCAGGGAGUUAGACUAGAUGACCCCCAAGGUCCCUUCAAACUCUAAAGGUCUAGGCUUCUGUUAUUGUCUCUGGCUCAGUAGUGGAUUGCAUGGUGGGUCAGCACUGCUCACCUGACUAGCCGAGUUGCUGCUGUGGAAUAGGAAGGAAAGGUGAAGAUACAAGAUGAUGGGGAGGUCUCAUGUGUGUGGGGGGGGGGCUACCUCUGUUCUCACACAGAUUAAAUGGAAUUACCCUCCUGGUUCAUUCUGAGCAAACGAAGGACAGUCAAAUAAAUGGGAAUACUCUAGGAUAUUGGUGUAAUGCUGUCCUGAAAAUCUACCCUUUCAAGAAGUGCUGCACCACAUGUUGCACCACCUGAAGCUAUCAAAGAGAGAGGAAAUGUAUGUCUCUUAAUAUUCAAAAUAGGGUGAGUUUUCCAAUUUCACAGUUCAAGUUUCUGAAUGAGAAAUUAUGACGAGCAAUUCAAACUCCCAUUUUGGAAGUGCAUCUUUUAUCUCAAAGAAAACUUUUUUUGUCAUCAUGUGAUUAUUUUAAUUCAAGCAUGCUGUGAAAUCUCAUGAGCUAUCAACUGGGAAAUGACAAUGGCUAAAUACUGCAGCAUGUUGUUUUCUAGAAGCUACUGUAUUGGGGGGGGGGUACCACCGCAUGUUGCCAACUAGAUAGUAUUAGCCACUGUUCAAAACUUCUUCAUGUAUUUCAUCAAAUAUAGCAGGGAUGAGUUACCUUUUUCAGUCAAAGGUCCAUUGCGUUCCAUUGUGGAAACUUGGGGGGCCACCUGCCACUAGUGGGUGGGGGUCAGAGGCAAAAGUGGGAGGAGCAAUGGAUGUGACUUGUAUCUUUGGACAUUUCAGCCCUGCAGAAAUAAAUAUAUUUCUAUAUAAGUACAAGUGUAAGGAGGUCAUCACACUGCAGUUCUUGUGGCUGCCAGUAGAUGGCCAUAGCAACUCCAGUGUCACAUAAAGCAGCCAGGCACGUGAGUAAGCAAGCAGCUGCUCAGUCAACCUCUUUAAUGGAGCAGGGAAGGCACUUCACUGAACAGUUUGAUAAACUGCUCUGCAAAAUGCCUCCACUCCUCCAUUAAACAUGGCUGCAGCAAGGUUUAACAGAAGAGGGAAGGUGCUUCAUAAAAAUGCUGUCUGAAGCUUCUUUAAAGGAGGUUGUGUAAGCUUUGAAGGGAGGGACCUAGUGUGCUCCGACACUGCCUCUGACAGUGGAGGAAAAACAUAGCCAUCAUUUAUUCACCAUGAAUGUGUCCAAUUAUAUUUUCAAGCCAUCCAAGUAGGUGGUCAUCAUUGUGGGGGUGAAUUCCAUAGUUUAACUAUGUGCUAUGUGGUGUGGGAUGCAGUGCAAUUAUCUGCAUUUCUGUGUAUGUAUACACAAGUUCGUUUUUGGUGUGUCCACAUAGCUCAAUAACCAAUUUCAAACUGGCAAUGUUGCCCCCAGAUUCUAAAAGGAUUGUACUUUCCAGAUCUUAUUCAAUAGGUGACCGUAAGACUACAUGGACAGUGGGUAAUGGCUUUAAAUAAUGGAUCUGCUGCAGAGAUAUUGAAUCAUCUGUCUCCAGAUCCCACCAUCUGCCGAUAUCUUCUUGAUUGUUUUCAUUCUUCCAUAUAAUUUGUUCUUGGAUUAGGCUGGUGUUAUGUCUAGAUUCUGGCACUCCCAACUUCAGUUAUUUUUACACUUGCCUUUUGCUUUUGUACUUCAGAUAGCACAGAUGUUCGCUUUCUUUACCUCCCAAAUUAGGAACUCUCUUCCCUCAAAAGCAUGGCUGGCACCAAUGUACCACUAAUAAAUGCUCACACAAUGGCUGGCAACGAAGCAGCCUAUCUGGGUGAGCAAUGUGACUUUGGAGUCGUGAGCUCACGCAAUACUGCAGCUCUUCUUUCACAAAAAAUCACGGUCUUCACAUUUGCAGAUUUCAAAUUUGCAGCUGCGAUUCCAUGGUACUGACAUUGUAUUUCAAAGCAGAGUUGACAUUCACAUCAGGAGCCGGAGCCUACUUUCAGAUCAUUAUUAAGUAAAACUCCACAGUGCUCUUUGAAAAUACUUUUUAUAAAUAAUAACGGCACCUGCUUCUUCAUGUACCUCUUCUGACUGCAAUAGGUGUCAGCCGAGCGGCAAACAAAUCUUCACCAUUCAUUGAUGCUAAUAGCAUUGAGCACACAUUUCUAAUUCCGUUACAGAUGUUUUGCUGACAGAGAAAGAUGACUCACCAUUUCUGGAGCAGGGUAGAGACAGGCAUGCCAUCUCAUCAAAGGCAAUAAUCAAUUUUCUCCCAAAUCUGCUCUGCAUUGAAUGAUGCCAUAAUAAAUUAAUCGGGAACAAACCAGGCCAACGGUAGGGUUGACGAAUAAAAUGUGUCACACAGACAGGGGAAGCUUAUAAAUCAAUUCAGCUGUGGCACAAAGGUCAGGCAAUGAGGCACUAAUAAAGCAUGCCUGAUAGCUAGCAAAGAAAUUACUUUGACUUCUUUUUCUCCCCCUUUUCCUUGAUGCGGCAUUUUCAUUAUGUUGAAUCAAACCAUCCCAUUAUUGGUUAGCUGCUGCGCCUUCGCAUGGGCAAGAAAGAUCUGUCCACUGUCUCCAGUUUCCAUUACUGUCCUUAUUAUAUGGAGGGAAACUGUUGGAAGCCACAAUUGGGAGCCUCUUUGGAAGCUACAACUGGGUCAGAAGGCAACAGUAAGCCAGUGUAGCACUAGGGGGCAGAGUGUUGACCUAGGACCUGUGAGACAAGAUGUCAAAUCACCACACAACCAUCAAGGUCACCGGGUGACCUUGGACCAGUCACCAAGUCUGUGUGCACAACAAGGCUUUGAAGCAUACACACACCCCUCUAAAAAAACCCCAAAAGGUUCUUGGAAACUUUAGUAUGUUAAGGGUGCUGUGAACUAUAUUUCUGUGAGGAGUAAACAGUGGUUCACAGAAUUCUUCCUCCCGCAAGCUACUGUUGGUAUAUUGGAAGCUUCCUUCCAUCGUUGGGCAAUAACUAUUCUGUGAACCACCGUGAGACCUCCAGGUAUAGGACAGUAUAUAAAUUCAAUUAACAACAACAAGAAGAAGAAGCCUAGCUGCUGUGAACAAGAAGGAAAUUAAUUCUUUAAAUUUGAGAUUAGAAUUUGCAGUUAGAUCUAAGGAUAACAAGGCAAGUGGCGAAUUAGGAAAAAUUAGACUGUAUUGUGAUUUUGGAGGCCAGACGAAACACUUUUUUCCCAACCCAAAAGCCAUUAACCAAAGUACAUUUCCACCAAGUAUGAAAAUAAGAGCAUUGUUCUCCACAGCCUUUCCAGAGAAGUGGUGAGCUUGAAGAAAUAAUUAUUGCAAGGUGUGUGGGCUAUUUCAGUUUCCCGUCUUGUUCCGAUAACUUUUGUGUUGCCAACAAAGCUGUUUGGUAUCCUGCCAUACAUUGUUGACACUGCCCCUUUCAUGUCAUAGCUAGGUCUACUAUGUAGCGAUUCGAAAAGGGUCUCAAGCCCUCACCUGUGUGUACCAAAUGCUUUUGCGAAAGUGCCCAGUUGGUAAAGUUGUAGCCAAUACAAUCCCAGAAUUCCUGUUCCACACUGUGAUGUGAUGUAUUACAUUUUUUAAUUUUAUUUUGGUCAAUUAUAGUAUUUCUAAAUUUACAUUUAUACAUGUAAAUUAGCACAGAGAGAUUUUAUGGAAGGUGAUGUUCUUUUUUGUUGUUUUCGUGUGCACAAGAAGAAGAGAAAAAGCUGAAGUAAAUCUGGUUGCCGUAGGCAGUGGUGAGAAUCAGAUCAAUGACCUUCUCAAGCAUACCUUGAUCUCUCAGCCACAAUGCUAUACCUGCAUGAACGCACACACGCACUCUCACACACAUAUUUCCCUCGUUUCCCGGAUCAUUUUUUUCCUGAUUUGCUGCAAGAAAACAUUGCAGUGAAGAAGAAGAAGCAGGAAAAAAGAGGGAGACUUUAAACAGGAGCAUUACUCAGAGGGCAGAAGAAACCUCCCUCAAUAACACCAGCUGGAAAAAGUGAUUUGCUAAAGAUUGCCGCCCAAAUAGCUACAUUCAUUAGCUGUCACAGUGUAUCCCAGAUCAGGCUAUUAACCAUUCCAGCUUUGACAUUUUUAUGUCUCAAGCCCUAGAUUUUUUCCAUCAAAUGUCUUUAUUAAAUCAGAUUAAUCUCCUGGUGAAAUUACUCCUUCUUCUUAAAGAGAGCACAAAGAGCAAAAUAGCUUUUGAUCGCAGAAUCAUAGAGUUGGUAGGUUCGUCAAAGGCCAUACAAUCCAACCCUUUGGCAAUGCAGCGUUCCUGAUAAGAUCCAUCCUUUUACUUAAAAUCAUUGAAUGAAGGCGAAGCUACCCUCUACUGCUGCAGUCUGCUCCACUUUGUGACGUGUUGUCAGGAAGUUCUUCUACAUAUUUAGUCAAAAUCCUUGUCCUGAGCUCAGCAGGGCUGUUGGGGUUGGGCUGGCAUAGGAACAGCAAGAAGCAGAGAGGUGAGCUGAAUUGGAGGGUGCCAAAUUCACUGCAUUUUUUUUAAAAAAAAUAUAUUUUAGUUUAUAAUUUUUAUUUUAUUUUGCAACACAAACACAUACACUCAUAAAACUGAACAUAAAAAUGAAAACAGAAGAACAGAAAGAAACACAAACGUGAAAAGAAAAAAAACAAUGUCAAAGUAAAAUACAAAGGCUUCUACAAAAACAAAUAGUGAACAAUGUAUGUAUACCAUGUUUCAAUUCUUCUUUUCUUCCAAUUGAAUUUCUUCAUCCUCAGCACGGUUCUGUUUUCAUUUUUGGUAAACUGUUUCCGUCUUAUUUCGUUUUUACCCUUUUUCUUUCUAUUUUUAGCGUUUACAUCAUGAUUUGUUUUGCAAAGUGAAUCGAAACAAGUCCAAGUAUUAAUUUGAGGGCACUGCUUUUUUAAGGUAGUCUCUAUAUUUUCCUCAUUCUUUCUGAAAUUUUUGUUUGGGCUGACCCCUAAUUGCAUCUGUCAUUCUAGCCAAUUCUAUAUAGUCAAAUAAUUUAUCUUGCCAUUCUUUUUUUGUCAGAAUUCUUUCUCCCCCCCCCCCCAAUUUUUAGCAGUUAGUGUUCUCGCAGUCACUGUAGCAUAAAGAAAUAUUUUCAUAUUUUCUCUGGCUAUAUCAGUGUCUAGUAUCCCCAGUAAAAAAGCUUCUGUUUUCUCAAUGAAAUGUUGUUUAAACAGUUUCUUUAGCUCUUCAUAUCCCAUAUCCCAGAAGCCUUUGAUUUUAUCACAAGUCCACCAUAUAUGUAGGAGCGUCCCCUCUACUUGGUUACACCUCCAACACAUACUUGAUUUUGUUUUAUACAUUUUACAUAUUUUGGUCGGGGUUAAAUACCACCUGUAAAACAUCUUCAUCAAAUGUUUCUUUAUCGCCUCACAAGCCAUAAAUUUCCAAUUUUUUUUUAAAAAAAACCAUUUUCACAGCGUUUUGUUUAAAUAUGUGUGUAGAUUCCACCUCUGUGGUGGCUGGGGAGAAUUUUCAUGAGCCCAGAGGGGAAGCUGCAGCAAAUGAGCUGGGGGUGCAGCCUAGCCACCAAGAACCAGGUUCCACCUUUUCAGGCAACAGCAGAUGCCCUGACAGAGAACUCGCUUGCCACCCCAAUUUCCCCACAAGGCAAGAGAGUCUCGUGUGAGAGUGCAUCACAUCUUGUCUUUAAAAGCUUGGUGAGAGGGAUGGGAAAGCUUGUUGAGAAAUCAUCACUGCUCCCAAUUGUGAACUACUGCAUCUAGACUUCGGAAUUCCAUCUCUAGAAAAGGUAGACUGGCUCCUCCCUUCACUAGCAGGUGAAGACUUCUUUGUUCCAACAGGCUUUUGGGAACUGACUGUGUUUAAUUCAAGGAUUGGUGCCAAGCUAUUUUUAUUGUAAUUAUUUGUAUGUUUUAAACAGAUUUUAUACAGUCAUACCUCGGGUUACAGAUGCUUCAGGUUGCCUUUUUUUGGGUUGCAGACCUGAACGGGUUACUUCCAGGUUUUGGCAGUCGCGCUUGCGCAGAAGCACUGAAUCACAACCCACGCGUGCGCAGACAUGCAGACUUAGGUUGCGAACAUGCAUCCCGCACGGAUCACAUUUGCAACCCGAGCGUCCACUAUAUAUGUCUUUAAUUCUAUCAGCAUUUAGUUGCUUUUUAAUGGUUGUGCUUUCUAUGUUUUUAAUAGUUCUUGUUUUUAAUCUUUAAGUCACCCUGAAUUCCGUCAGGGGAAAAGGUAGGGUAUAAAUAAACAGAUAAUAAUAAUAACUUCUUGCUCUGCUGUGCAACUCCAGAAUUAUGACUCCAGAGCCCUGUGGCGGCUGUUGAGCCUGUAUUACUUGCCUGGAUAAAGAUAUCUUUCUUAUUUCCAAGUGAGAGUCUCUGUCUUUGUGUGUCGGGCAGGAGCUAGGACAAUAGUAUCCCCCCUGUAAAUUGAAUCCAUUAGUUCAGGUCCUGACCUCUGGAGCAACGGAAAACAGCAUUGCUCCCCUGUCUAUGUGACAGCAAUUCAAAUAUUUGAAGAUGGCUAGCAUAAUACCACUUAAUCGUCUCCUUUCCAGGUUGAUCCCAAGUGACCCCUGUAUCAUAUCAUACUGUAGGGCAAAGGUACACCACAGCUUCACAGGUGCAUCUUCACUUAAUGAUUGCAGCAUUAUGAAAACCUGCAAGUAUGUGUGGCCCUUUUUGUUGCUGGCAUUCAUCUGUCUUAAUAAUAAUAAUAAAUUUUUAUUUAUACCCCACCCUCCCCAGCCAGAGCCGGGCUUAGGGCUGUUGGGGUUGGGCUGGCAUAGGAACAGCAAGAAGCAGAGAGGUGAGCUGAAUUGGAGGGUGCCAAAUUCACUGCAUUUUUCAAAAAAUAUAUAUAUAUUUUAGUUUAUAAUUUUUAUUUUAUUUUGCAGCCAGAGGCUCAGGGCGGCUAACACCAGUAAAUUUACAACAAAAACAUAAUGGGGGGGGACAAUUAAAAAUACAGGUUAAAAUGCAAUUUAAAAUGCAGCCUCAUUUUAAAAGUAGCCCAUGGAUCAAAACUGUAAGGGGAGGGAAAACAUAAGGGUCAGACUGAGACCAAACCAAAGGCCAGACAGAACAGCUCUGUCUUGCAGGCCCUGUGGAAAGAUGUCAAGUCCCGCAGAGAUUGAGGUGGUGCGAAUAACAAGAUACCUGCCCUCUUGACCAUUUUGAUCUGUGGAACAGGAACUUUUUCAAGUGCCACAUAAUAUUCACCCCACACUUGUAAGCAAUCUUUAAUUUUUUUAGCAUAGCUGCACCUACCCCCUGGAACGGCUUUCCCUCUGACAUAAGGCAUGCACCUUUACUAUACUAUUUUCAGUCCCUGCUAAAAGCUUCUUUUUUGUUUAGGGAAGCCACCCCAGGUAUGCAAAGCCUACAUGUAUUUUAAAAUGUAAUUUUAUGGUGUGUGGUUUGUGAUGUUAUUUGUAUUUUGAUAAACCUUUUUUUAGGUUAACUUAUUUUUAACUCUGAUUUUUAUCAAUAAUUUUAAUGUAUAUUUUACAUUACAUAAACUGCUUAGGGGUUUUUUACUAUUCCUUUUCUUCUUCUUUACUAUAAUUGUUAAUCUGUUAAAUAAAAUACAAUGCAUGAAUGCAUAUUGCUUGGUAAGGAGGUGGACUUCACAAUGGAACAAAUUGUGUGGUUUUUUAAAAAAGCAAACAAACCAAAAACAAUACAAUACACCAAAAUACAAUUAUUGUAAUUUUUGCCAUAACAAUGAAUUCAUUUUAAAAGGAAAAUCGAAGUACAAUGAGACAUUAUUACAAUCAGGAUAAUUGUACAAUGUUUGAUAAAUUCACUUAUGCAGGUUUCCUUUCCAAGAUCCUGUAGUUCCAUCUUCAAGACAAAAAAAUACAGAGUAUGAUCUAACGGGUGUGUUUCUGUCUCUGAUCGUCAGGGGAAAAAAGAGUCCAGUGUUAAUGAUGCUGCUUACAUGGAGAUAACCAAACAUGAGAAACCACAUCCAAGUUGCAUCAUCCAGGACUGGAUCUCCGAAUCAGCCUUCCCUUUCAGGGCCGUCUGUAGCAUAUACGCCACUGGAGUGCAAAGAUCCACCCAGCGCCCCCAAAUUUAGUUUAGCCACUCCCAAAGGUGUCAAAGGUGCCUCUGACCCUGCUGUCACAAAGCAGCUUAAUACAAUACAUAACAUAAUAUUUUGAUGUAAGAGUUAAUUUCACGUGCACGCACUGUCGUGAAUGACAAGCGUAGCUACUGGCACAGCGCAUCUUUGGUAAAUGAGUGCACAAAGUUGAAUGUCCUUUAGUGAAACAGUAGGAAUACAUUUUGGUAAUACCUAGGUACAGUGGUACUUCGGGUUAAGUACUUAAUUCGUUCUGGAGGUCUGUUCUUAACCUGAAACUGUUCUUAACCUGAAGCACCACUUUAGUUAAUGGUGCCUCCUGCUGCUGCAGGAGCAUGAUUUCUGUUCUCAUCCUGAAGCAAAGUUCUUAACCCGCGGUACUAUUUCUGGGUUAGCAGAGUCUGUAACCUGAAGCGUAUGUAACCUGAGGUACCACUGUAUAUAUGUUUUUUGUUUUACUAGCUUGAUCAAAAUUAUUUAUUAUUUCAUAAUAGGUAGAUAGUUAAGAGCUAAGGCAACUUCAGUGGCGGGCACCUAGUGCCCCCCCCAAUUUGGCACCCAGGUGCCCCGCACCCCUUGCACCCCAGGGUAAAGACGGCCCUGUUCCCUCUCCUUGUACCCUCUGGAUGUUUUGGAUUACAACUUCCAUAGCAUCAGCUAGCAUGCCCAUGUUGGCAAAGAAUGGUUUAGACUGUGUUUAGACACAUCUGAUGACCAACUAAAGGAUUAAUAAAACAAGAUCAGUUUAUAGAAAUAUAACCACAGACUUCAAGCAGUAAAGCUUCCAACAGGGCAAAUUGUCUUUUGAGUUUCCCAUGCUUAUAGUAAUAUAUCACCCUUUAAAUCUGGCGGGGAUGUCAAAUUCAGACAUUUAUUAUUACUCUAGGACAAGUAAUGUGAAACACCGUGUAAUGGUUUCACUAUACCACAGGACACAGAAACAUCAAGCAGGGACAUCACGUAAUGCUCAGUUUUGCCAAUAAAUGUCUGAAAGAGCCAAUAAUUGUUACAUCCAAAGAGCAAUUUGUUUCUGUGGUCUCGAGGACGCAAUGUGUUAAGCCAUUUUCAUAUCAUUAAGGCUUUAUGAGCAGAGAAACAUGAUGAACUUGGAGUUAAAGGCAACCAAGUGACAUCCAGCCUUUUAAAUAAGACCAUCAGAAAUUUGGCAAGACAACGAGGCAACGCGAUCCCUUUGGCUGUCCAAAUAUUUGGAAAAGGGUGGCUGGAAUAAGCAACAGCAUGGUGUCAGAGUCCAUCCCAAUCAUGGUUUCGGGGUGGGAGGAGAUGACCUUAUUCAAGGAAGAAGAGUGAGAUGCUCUAGAUACAUCUAUUGUGAUUGGAGAUCCCGUAGAGCCUGAUGUCCUACUCACCGGUGGUUGGUGUUCAUAGGAAUGGGUAGGUGUGCACACCAUAGCUGUCAACCGUCCCUUAUUUGGCGGGACACUCCCUUAUCCCAGCACUGUGUCCCGCUGCUGUCCCUUAUUGAUGAUGUCCCUUAAAUUUCCCAGGUUUCAAAGGAAGCAGCUCCUCUCCCUCCCUCCCUGCUGGCCAGGGAGGGAGGCUCCAACUGUGUUGCUUGGCUGCAUUGCUCACCCAAUAAGGAGUCUAAGAACGACUGGGGGUGGAGCUUGCAUGCCAUGUGCCGAUCAAAUUGGCCGCAUUGCCCGGGGAUUCGCCUUUGCUCAGUGCUUCCCAGCGGAGAGGUGACGGUGGUUUUCCUUGCUGCAUCCCCUUUGCCGGGUUGCUGCGCUGUGGGAACCACCACUUGAGGCUUCGUUUGGCUGCUAGCUGGGUUUUCUGCCUUUGGCUCGGAGGGGCUCAGAAGUUGAACAUACCUGUGCUCUGAAAAUCCCUUAUUUUGGCUGCUGAUCCCUUAUUUUCGAGGCUGCUGGUCCCUUAUUUUCAAAUCUGUAAGUUGACAGCUAUGGUGCACACACUACGUUGUCAUCAGCAUACUGCAGCUCUGUGACAGAAGUUACGGUUACCUUACUCUUUGCUUUCAGCCUACUCAGAUUAAAGAGCUUUCCAUCUGCUCAAUAUAUGAUUUCUACUCCAGUGGGGUGUUUCCCGUCGACAAAGUUUAGGAUCAUGGCAAUGAAAAUAAUGAAUAGAGUUGGGGUGAUAACACAACCCUGCUUAACACCUGAUCCUACUGUAAAUGGUUCACUUGGAGAGCCAUCGUUUUCUGCAAUUUUUGCUGUUAUAUUAUCAUAGAGGAGCUGAAUGAUGUUCACAAAUUUAUCUGGGCAGCCAAUUUUCAGAAGGACAGUCCAUUACGAUUUACAGUGUCAAAGGCCCCUUAGUCAGGUCAAUAAACGCCAUAUACAGGGGUUGGUUUUGUUCUUUGCAUUUUUAUUGAAGCUGUCGAGUGGUGAAAAUCAUGUCCUCUGUCCCCCCAGAAGGUCUAAAAGCAUUCUGGGAUUCAGGAAGUGUAGCCUCGGACAUUGUUAAUUCGCUAAGAUCCUUGCCAGAAUUUUGCCAGCCGCUGGUAAUAAAGAGAUGCCUCGAUAGUUUCCGCAAUCUGUUCUGUCACCUUUUUUAAAGAGAUUGAUAAUUUUGGCAUCUCUAAAGUCUGCUGGGAUCUCCUCUCUCUCUCCCAUAUUUUGUCAAAAGAGUGUGUUGGUAAUAGCAAGGUUGUGCGCUGCACAUGUAGUCAAAAAUAAGAUUCCGUUCUAGUUGCUGUUGCCAAUUCCUUCUUUCCCAAUAUUCCCAGGCCACAGAUCAAAAUCUCACCCAACUCUGGCAUUAAAAAUCACCCAGGAGGAUAAUUUUAGAUGGCAUCCAGCUGAGAGUAAAAUUUUUCUUUAAUGUCUUCAUUGGCAUUCAGUGUUGGUGCAUAAGCGCUUAGAAUAGUAGCCUGCUGGUUUUUGGCGAGUUUUAUUCAAAGGGUUGAAAUUCGCUCAUAAAUGCCGGAAGGGACUUCUGGCAAGAGCUUCACAAGAUCGUUUUUGAUAGCAAAGCCUACUCCAUGUAUUCGAUGUUCUUGUUCAGGUAGACCUUUCUAGAAGAAUGUGACACUCCUUUUUCUUCCUUGAUUUGUCCCUCACCUGCUCUUCAAGUUUCUUGAAGUGCUGUGAUAUCAAUGAUUGAUAAGCAGCAUUCCUGAGGUGGCUUAUAGCAGCCCACUGCCCUCACCAGGUGUAGUGCAACUAGGGGAGCAGCACUGUGAUGUCUCAGAGAUGGCACUUUGCCACAUGGUUAGCACCAUUCAGUAUGCCUGUGCAACACUGGUUUGAGCUGAAUGUGUGAAUUGGCUCCAUUGAAAAGCACUGUGUGAUAUCAUGUUUGUAAAGAACCGUGAAGCUGAGAGGGGAAUCUUGUCAUCUGGGCAGCCCAGGGCCUCCAAUACACACUGCCCUGUGCCCUGGAAGUGACCCUAACACAAAAACAAUGGGAGGCAGCAGUUAUGAGCUACCAGUCUCUGCAAUCGCUGUGAUUCUCCAGUGGCUUGACUUCACCCCCAGUUUUGACCUUUAAGGCCCUAUGCGGCCUAGGACCCACGUACCUAUGGGACCGCCUCUCCUGGUAUGCCCUGGGGAGGACCUUAAGGUCCACAAAUGACAACAUUUUGGAGGUCCUAAGUCACAAGGUGGUUAGAUUGGUCUCAACUAGGGCCAGGGCCUUUUCAGUACUGGCCCCGACUUGGUGGAACGCUCUGUCACAAGAGACUAGGGCUUGACAUCUUUCCGCAGGGCCUGCAAGACAGAGCUGUUCCGUCUGGCCUUUGGUUUGGACUCAGUCUGACCCUUAUGUUUCCCUCCCCUUAUGGUUUUGAUCUAUGGGCUAUUAUUAAAAUGAGGCUGCAUUUUAAAUUGUAUUUUUAACCUGUAUUUUAAAUUGUUUCCCUCCCCUAUUAUGUUUUUAUUGUAAUUUUACUGGCGUUAGCUGCCCUAAGCCUCUGGCUGGGGAGGGCGGGGUAUGAAUAAAAUUUAUCAUUAUUAUUAUUAUUAAGUGGGGAUAGACUCUAGGGAAAACUUUCUCAACUUUAGUCCUCAGAUGUUGUUGGACUACAACUCCCAUCACCCCUAGCCAGCAGGACCAAUCACCAGCCAGGGAUGAUGGGAGUUGUAGUUCAACAACAUUUGGGGACCCAAGAUUGAAAAAAGCUGGUCUAGGGGUUCCAAACUCUUACCCCAGAGUUCGGUUUCCUUGGAAGGAAGGUCCAAUGGCUAUUGUUCUCCUUACCAGCCAAGUGAGAGGGGAUGAGGAAAAGACCCACCUAUUUGUUUCUAUGACAACGAAGCUCACUCAGUCAUGAUGGAUCUCCCUCUUUUAAGAUGCAGAUGUUGGGUGCUUAGUUGCACACCUUGAUAAAGGGAAUAUCUUAGCCAGCCUACCAGAUUCCCUCUUUUACAUUGUAGCCUCUUGUUUUGAAAGUGAUCCACAUUUUCAGUGCCUCGCCUAAACACAUUAUUGGAAGAUGUCUCCCAGCCUUGACAUUCCAUACCUACCUUACUUUUAGUUAUUUGGAGGGGAGGGGAAAGAGAAAUGUCAUCACAGUGCCAGGCAUAUUUGAUCUUCCCACCAUCUCUUUUACUGACUCUAUGCUUCCUCCUCUCCCACUGUGGAUAAGGAAAAGGGAUAAAGUGUAAUAGCAGUGCAGUUCACACUUCGCUGAAGCCAGGAAUAAGUUGCUCAUGGAAUGCAGUACUAUGGCUUCAGUGGCCAAAAAGAGGACACGGUUUUCCAAUCAAAGAGAAAAUAAAAUAAAAAAGAGGGCAAAAGACAACUUGGGCUUGCAUAAAUUGUGUAUGGGCUAAUUUGUAAAUACAGAUGCAAACUUGGAAAUUAUGGUGCUGGAGGAGACUCUUGAGAGUCCCAUGGACUGCAAGAAGAUCAAACCUAUCCAUUCUGAAGGAAAUCAGCCCUGAGUGCUCACUGGAAGGACAGAUCCUGAAGCUGAGGCUCCAACACUUUGGCCACCUCAUGAGAAGAGAAGACUCCCUGGAAAAGACCCUGAUGCUGGGAAAGAUUGAGGGCACAAGGAGAAGGGGACAACAGAGGACGAGAUGGUUGGACAGCUACCAGCAUGAGUUUGACCAAACUGUGGGAGGCAGUGGAAGACAGAAGUGCCUGGUGUGCUCUGGUCCAUGGGGUCAUGAAGAGUCGGAUACGACUAAAUGAUUAAACAACAACAACAAAUAAUUUAAAUAGUACUGCCUUGUUCACUUUUGAGUCUUAUUUAACUGUUGAUGUGCUUUGAAUUAGACCAGAGUAGAUCAUACCUGCAUGCAUUUGAAUUUGUAUACGAGGAGUAACUUUUCUCUUUCCCAUUCAUAUCAGUAGACAUUCCCUUUUGUCCCAGCCUUCUAUUUUGUUGAUUCAAUUAUGUCAAUUAAAAACUGACAGGGCAUAUUGGCACAAAGCUGUGCAUGUGCUUUGUUUAUCUUUUUUAAAAAGAAAAAGGAAAAAAAUGUGCAAACCUGCAAAGGAUGCUACUGGAAGUAAGAAAUGGAGCAGAUCUGGACGUUUAGCUGUUCUGACUUGAAAGACCUAUCUGCUACAGUCAGUUACAGGUUUAAGACUGAGUAGCAGAGUCUCAUAUUCCCUCUGCCCCCCACCCCCACCAUUAAUUUGUUCAUGAAUUGUGUUCCCCUGGCACAUUUCUCUGAGGAAAGCUUUCAUCUCUGGGGAUUUGGACAUCCAUGUUAGUAUGACGGAUGCACUGUGCAUAAAUACUGCUUUGAUCUCUUAAAUAUAUCUGAAAAUGUGCCAUUUGCGAGUGGAUGGAGUCUUUUGUCGUUUUGGGAAGGGUUAUCCACAACAUCCUGGUUCUGACAAAUAGUUUUAGCGCCAUUUGCCUCUUUUGCAUUGUAGGUUGUAAUUAACGGGAAACAUGACACCAGCAAUCUCAGAAGAAACAACAGCUCUCAGGGCGAUCCCAUUCUGCUUUCUGUUGGUUGCGCAACGUUUAUCCGAGCCGAACAAGAGAGCCAAAUUCAGAGCAGCUUGGGAGUUUAAAGCAGAAGAGGCUUCUUCAUCUGACCCUCAGGACUCUCCCCACAGGGCCUCACCCCUUUCCCCCAAGUUAUGCUUCUUGCCAGCUCAGCUUUGCACCCUACUUGAGCACCUUUACCUGGUGCUGAGGCACUUUGAACUGAGGCAAUGCCUCUUGCUUGCCUAGAUGGAGGUUGAAGAGAGCUGUAUGUGUACAGAACCUUUUGACUUUUGUUUGACUGGAAUGUAGCUAUCCUACUGCUCCAGCCCCUUUGCUCUCCAAUCCUGCCAAUGCAACGUGGCCUGCAUUAAGUUGUCCAUGUGGCCUGUGGAUUGAAAAACGUUUCUGCAUCCCAGUGUUAAGGAAACCAAGGUUCUUCCUAAUGUCUCAACAAAUGAAACUGAUAUGUAAAAAUUGUUACUUGGGGGGAGGGGGAAGAGAGAGAGAGACAUUGCAC
rnacentral:lncRNA from 1 species